rnacentral:lncRNA from 1 species
UUUUACUUGCCUAGCUUUACCUGUGUGCUUUUCAGCUCUCCCCCAAUCUUGAAUCAAUUAAUAUAAAUCCAACUAGUUCUAUAUUUCUCUUCAACAAACUUGUAGAUUUUGUGGGUGAUUGACCGAAAGGAAUACAUGCUUAUUCGUCUCAGGUUUUUCUUUUUUUGUUAAUUAUUUAUUUAUUUCUGAUUUUGAAUCUCCACUGAGCUUUUUGUUAAUUAAUUUGUUGGGAUGUUAGGGUUGUUUUGAAAGUUGUCUUUCGAAAAUGGAUAGAAAGAUGUAUCAUAAAGACCCGUGAGAAUAAAACGGCAUGGGAGGAAUUGGCAAGAUUAAGGUAAUCUCUAACUCUUUCUGGAUAUUAUCUGAAAAUUUCUUUCAGUUACUUCUUUUUUUUAUCAUCAUAUAUGAAAAUAAAAAAGCAAUAUCUUGAAACAAAUUCUACUUUAAGCUUCUUUUUAGAAGGAAGGAAACGUGUAUUUUCUUGGAAAUUAAAAUUACUUGAAUUCUUUAUCAUGAGGAAUUCCGUACAUGAAUAAGGCUAUUGUUCCUGUUUUUCUUAAGGCUGUUUCGGACAGUUUCAAGUCUUUUAAAAAUAUGGGAAAAAUCACAGAGGUACCUUAAGAAGUUAUCUAUGUGUAGGAAAAAGAACGAACACGUUUCGAUUUAUAGGUUGUGCGUAAUGGCUAUUUUCGUAAAGGACUCUUAAAUAUUAACACCCGAAUUUCUCACAGUGUAUAUAUGAGAAAAAUCCGAAACUUUUACAGUAUGUUCAUAUAUGUUAUGAGAGUAUACCCUGAAAAUUUCAGAAUUUUCUGAGCAAAACUCGAUUUAUGAAAAAUGAAGCAAGAUCCGAGUGUUUUGGGCACUUUAAAAUUAGUAAAUCACUUUCUAAAAUUCCAGAAAAAUUUGGGGAUCAUUGUUGGGUCAUAUACUGUCCAAACCCUGAAAAGAAGAAUUUUUGGAAUCAGUUUGGUAUUUUUCCUAAAAAUAAUGAAGUUAUGAAUAAAAGAAAAUAAAUAGUUAAAUGAUGUCUUAAAUAAGAAAAAAGUGAUUUUAAUGCUUAAAUACUCCUAAUAUAUAAUAUUAUGAUUAAUUUAAGGCAUUUUGGUAAUUUAUAAUAAGAAAUAUUAUUUAUGACCUUUUAUGGAUAUUAAAUAAGUGGUUUUAUAAAGGGUGAACAAUUAGAAUAAAUUGUUUAUUGAUCUAAUAAAUUAUUAAAAUAUUAUUAUGAUAUUAAUAAUAUUAGAUUAAAAUAUUAAUCUUAGAUUAAAAUAUUAUUAAAAGAUUAAUAAUAUUAAAUUAAAGUAUUAUUGGAUGAUUAAAAUAUUAUUAAGUAAAUAAUAAUAUUCGAGAUUAAAUAAAAUAUUAUUAAAAAUGUAAUAACAUUAGUAAAUGAAUAAAAUAUUAUUAAAUGAUUAAUAAUAUUAGUAAAUGAAUAAAAUAUUAAUAAUAUUGGUAAAUGAAUAAAAGUAUUAUGAAUUGAUUAAUGAUGAUAAAGCAUAAGUAAGAUUGUAGAUUGCAGAUAAGAUACGCGUGAAGGAGGCAUUUUAUGAGUCAGCCAAGCGGGUGGACCAAUUAGAGAUAGCACUGCAGGCCAUGAAGGUCAGGGUCGAGACUUUAGGACUGGCGUUAGACGCAACAUAUGAGUGCCAACGCAGUGGGACUAGGAGGGCGCAUAUCGAGAUAGGGGAGUCGAGUCGAUCCGUUCGGCGUAGAGUUAUGGAGGGGUUGUUUCCCCAGGAGCCUGUUCAGGUAACUCAGCAGGGCCACCAGUGAUGAUUAUGCUAUGGACUAGUUGUAGAUAGAUGCAUUAGUACCCCUUUUUGUGUAAUAGGGUUUUAUGUUGAUGUAAACCUCAGCAGGUGUGAGUAUCAUUUUAAGUUAAUCCCAUCUUUUGUGUUUAAACUGGGAUAAUAACAUUUAUAAAAAUAUACCUGUAUUGAACAUGUGAGACACCGAAGAUUGGUAUAUGAAUAUAAAUGCAUUAUUAUAAUAUGUGUUGGAAAAUUUAAAUAGUAAAUUGUCUAUUUAAUGUUAUGUGAAUCCAGUAGACUGAAUUGGAAAUUUUUUUAAAGCAAACUUAACCCACUAAUCAGGGAGAAAGACUUCCAAAUCUUGGUAAUUUAAAACUCUCACAUAAUGAUCAUCUGAUUGUUUGAAUACAGUAGCGUAUUACAUGCUAAGUACUUAUAUGAUAAUAAAACUCGAGUAACGUAUUAGAAUUUUGUUUCACCACAUAAUGUCGCCCAGACGUGUACUAAGGAACCAAGAGAUCGAAGAGUCAGUUAAUAAUGCAGCGGGAGCUCAACCAAACCCAAUGCAAGACUUUAUCAACAUGAUGGCUGAAGCUAUGAGGAAUCAAGCUCAACCUGCAGGAAAUCAGGCGUGAAACCAACUAGCCAACUUUAAGGACUUUAAGGCAGUAGGACCGCCGGAGUUUAGAGGAACAGCAGACCCGAUAGAGGCCCAGACGUGGAUAAAGGAGAUUGAGAAGGCCUUCAUUAUUGCUAGAGUAGCAGAAGAGUAGAAAACAAUUUUUGCUACCUACUUAAUGAAGGGUGAGGCUAACUAUUGGUGGGAGGCCAACCAGAACAAAGUCGGGACUGGAAUCGUGACUUGGGAAGCGUUAAAGACGUUGUUCUUUGGGAACUACUUCUCUGAGAGUACACAAGCGAGAAUGGAGAUCAAGUUUUUGGAAUUGAAACAGGAGAAUAUGUCAGUGUCAGAGUAUGCUGCGAAGUUCAAUGAAUUGGCCAGAUUCGCUCCACAUCAGGUGGACACGGAGGUGAGGAAAGUAAGAAGGUUCGAAAAUGGACUAAAGCCGUGGAUUUACAGUAUGGUAGUGGUUUUGCAAAUCACGUCAUUCUCAACUCUAUUGGAGAAAGCUCUCAUAGCGGAAGGUGGAAGCGAAGCGGUCUCAAAGUAUAAUCGGGAGAAGAACAAGAAGAAAAUAGAAGGUGGGAAUCAGAAUGUUAGCAAUGGCGUUAGCAACAACAAGAAACGGAAAUGGAGCAGUGGGGGUGGUAAUUUGGAGAGUCAGCAAGGAAGUGUGCAACAAAAGAAGUCGGUGUGUGGAAACUGUGGAAAGGGUCACUCGGGAGAGUGCUUAAAUGGAAAAACGGUAUGUUAUACCUGUGGACAAGAAGGUCAUACCUCACCCAAUUGUCCUAAGGUGAAGAAGGGAGGUUGUUUUAACUGUGGUGAAGUGGGACAUCGGAUCAAGGAUUGCCCGAGGAAGAAAAGCACGGAUGGCGGAAACGGCAACAGGGGCAAUAACAUUAUGACAACCAGUAGAGGACCAGCCCAGCCAAACAAGCCGACAGCGAGGAAAUUCAAUAUGACAGUGCAAGAUGUCGUGGCAUCUAGGGAGGUGGUGUCAGGUAUAAUUCCAAUCAACGAUAUAAAUGCAUAUGUGCUAUUCGAUUCGGGAGCUUCAUGUUCUUUCGUAUCUGAUGAAUUUGCUCAAAGAUUAAGUUUACCUCGUGAACUAUUAGAACACCCAAUGAAUGUAGAAGUAGCAAACAAAGAAAUUAUCCCUGUAGACUACAUCCAUAGGAAUUGUUAUGCUGAUGUAAGAGGGUUUAAGCUUAACGUGGAUUUGAUACCGAUUCGUUUUGGAGAGUUUGAUGUAAUCCUCGGGAUGGAUUGGUUAUCGAGUCAUGGAGCAGUCAUUGACUGUAAAAAAAACUACGUACACCUAAAGACUCCGAAUAAGUCAAAGGUGGUAUUUCAUGGCAGUAAAUCGCCGAGACAAUCUUCUUGUCUGACGGUGAUGCAAACAAAGAAGUUGCUUAGGAAGGGUUGUAUAGGUUAUUUGGCUCACGUUGUGGAUACCCGCAGAGUCGAGGGUGAAUUGGUUCAGAUACCUAUUGUAAGGGAAUUCGUUGAUGUCUUCUCAGAUGAGAUUCCGAGAUUGUCACCAGAUAGAGAGGUAGAGUUUGUUAUCGAUUUGGCACCAGGGACAUCACCGGUAUCCAAAGCGCCGUAUCGUAUGGCUCUGGUAGAAAUGAAGGAACUGAUAGUUCAACUACAAGAGUUGUUAGAUAAGGGAUACAUUCGACCGAGCGUAUCACCGUGGGGAGCACCAGUCUUAUUCGUAAAGAAGAAGGAUGGGUUAUUAAGGCUUUAUAUCGACUACCGAGAGUUGAACAAGGUCACCAUUAAGAACAAGUACCCGUUGCCCAGGAUCAACGAUUUGUUUGAUCAGUUGAAGGGGAAAAAUACUUUUCAAAAAUCGACUUGAGGACCGGUUAUCACCAAAUGAAGGUGAGGCAGGAGGAUGUUCCAAAGACUACAUUCAGAACUCGGUAUAGACACUUUGAGUUUCUGGUAAUGUCUUUUGGAUUGACGAAUGCGCCAACAGCAUUCAUGGACUUGAUGAACAGAGUGUUUAAACAGUAUUUGGAUAGGUUUGUUGUCGUGUUCAUUGAUGACAUUAUGGUAUAUUCAGAGACGGAGGAAGAACACGCUGAACAUCUAAGGAUAGUGUUGGAGACGUUAAGGAAGGAGAAGUUGUAUGCAAAGUUCUCCAAGUGUGAGUUUUGGUUGCAGAGAGUGCAAUUUUUGGGUCACGUUAUCGACAAGGAUGGUGUUUCGGUGGAUCCAGCAAAAGUAGAAACGGUUAUCAACUGGGAACAACCAAAGACGCCGACAAAAAUUAGGAGUUUCUUGGGAUUAGCAGGAUACUAUCGGAGAUUCAUUCAAGAUUUUUCAAAGAUAGCAUCGUUGUUGAUCAACCUUACUAGAAAGACGGUGAAGUUCGUUUGGAAGGAAAAAUGUGAAGAGAGUUUCAUGGAAUUAAAGAAGAGGCUUAGUCAAGCACCUGUGUUGGCUAUACCAGACAACACGGGAGGAUUUGUAGUGUAUAGUGAUGCGUCACACAAGGGUCUUGGUUGUGUACUGAUGUAGCAUGGCAAAGUCAUUGCGUAUGCUUCACGUCAGCUGAAGGACUAUGAGAAGGGUUAUCCGACUCAUGACCUGGAGUUAGCAGCAGUAGUUUUUGCUUUGAAGAUUUGGAGGCACUAUUUGUAUGGCGAGAAGUGUGAGAUAUCACAAGAGUCUGAAGUAUAUCUUUACGCAGAAGGAGCUAAAUAUGAGGCAGCGCCGAUGGCUAGAAUUGAUCAAGGAUUAUGAUUGUGAGAUUCUGUACCAUCCAGGCAAAACAAAUGUAGUGGCAAAUUCCCUGAGCAGAAAAGGCAGAGAGAAGUUACUGAAGUUGACCAUUCAAGAUGAAUUGGUGAAAGAUUUCGAACGACUUGACUUAGAGGUUAAGUAUCCGAUGGAGACCAAUGAGAAAUUAUUUACAGUGGCAGCGAGCUCGACUUUAUUAGAUAAGGUUAAAGAGGCUCAAGAGGAGGAAGAUUGCGACAACAUCAAGAAGCGGUUAGCUGAAGGGGAUGAAUUGAAAUACAAAACUAAUGGCACCGGUUUGCUGAGAUUCGAAGGACGAAUUUGGGUACUGUUAGUACCAAAAAUAAGAGAAGAGAUUUUGCAAGAAGCACACAGUACGAGGUACUCGAUACACCCAAGAAGCAAAAAGAUGUAUCAAGAUUUACGUCAACAAUUUUGGUGGCCAAACAUGAAGAGAGAGGUUGCAGAAUGUGUCAGCAGAUGUCUACCUUGUCAGAGAGUCAAGGCAGAGCAUCAACGACCGGGUGGAUUACUACAGCCUUUGGAGAUUCCAGAGUGGAAAUGGGAGCACAUCACGAUGGAUUUUGUGGUGGGACUUCAAGCAACGCAAAAAGGGCACGACACCAUAUGAGUGAUUGUAGAUCGUCUUACGAAGUCGGCUCACUUUUUGCCGAUCAAGAUCAGGUAUAGUUUGGAUCAGUUAGCCAAAUUAUAUAUCAAAGAAAUUAUCUCGAGACAUAGCGUUCCAGUAUCUAUUGUACCGGAUAGAGAUCCGCGAUUCACGUCAAACUUCUGGAAGAGUCUUCAAGAAAGAAUGGGGACGCAACUACGGAUGAGCACCGCGUAUCAUCCGUAGACCGAUGGACAAAGCGAGAGAACGAUUCAAACGCUUGAAGACAUGCUCAGAGCUUGUGUGAUGGACUUCAAGGGUAGCUGGGAGGAUCAUCUUCCAUUAGUAGAGUUCGCAUACAACAAUAGCUAUCACGCCAGCAUCGGAAUGCCGCCGUACGAAGCACUGUAUGGAAGGAAAUGUAGAACGCCCUUAUGCUGGGAUGAAGUGGGUGAACAUCGACUGUUGGGACCAGAACUGGUGCAGCAGACCAUAGAGAUCAUCAAGGUGAUAAGAGCCCGACUGGUAGCAGCUCAAGAUUUCCAGAAGAAGUAUGCAGACUUACAUCGACAUAAGAGAGAUUUUGAAGUGGGAAGCUAUACAUUUUUGAAAUUAUCUCCCUGGAAAGGGAAGAUAAGGUUUGGAAAGAAAGGUAAACUGAGUCUGAGAUUUAUUGGACCCUUCGAGAUCUUGAGGAAGAUAGGCAAAGUGGCGUACGAGGUAGAUCUACCUCCUGAACAGGAACAUAUUUAUAAUGUGUUUCACGUGUCAGUGCUACGACCAUAUAAGCCUGAUUACAAGCACGUGAUAUCGUACGAGCCAAUUCAGGUCGAAGAGGAUUUGUCGUGCGAGGAAAUUCUGGUAGAAAUUUUAGAUAGAAAAGAGCAGAAAUUGCGAAAUAAGGUUAUACAUUCUGUAAAAGUUCUUUGGAGGAACCACAAUGCUGAAGAAGCUACGUGGGAACUCGAAGAAAAGAUGAGGGAAAAUUAUCCACAUCUUUUUGAGUAACCCUAUAUGUAAUUCUGGGGACAAAAUUCUUAUAUGGGGGGGAGGAUGUAAUAACCGUGAAUUUUAAGUCACUAUAUAUGUAUGUACAUUAUUGAUAUUUAAAACUUUGUGUUAUAUAGUGAUUUAAUAUGUGACAACAUAUGUGAAGUGGUGCAUGGAUCAAUAAACAUAUAUACUAUAGUUAUGAAUAUAUAAAUUUAUAGAUUUCAUUAAAAAUGAAAGUUUCGUAACCUAAUUAUACAUUAGAUGAGACAAUUAAAUAACCUAAGGGUUAUGGUAAUAAGGAAAUGUUAGUAUUUAAUAUGUAUACUAACUUAAGUGGAUAAUCUUGUUAUUUCAAGUGACUAAUAAUUUUAAACCUAUUUCUAGUAAACCUAAUUAGGUUAUGAGCUAAAGUCACAUGUAUAAGUAAUUAAAUUUCAUAAGAUUGGGAAUGGAAACCCUAAAUAAACAAUUUGGGUGGCAUAUAUUAAAAUUGUUAGACUAUGUUCAUUACAUGGCCCAAAACAAUUAAAGGAGAAGCCUAAAAGAAAUAAAAUGCAAACCAAUACUUAGCCCACUUGAUUUAGGGUAUUUUAGACUUUUGAUUAAUCAAAUUUGUGCAUUAAAAUAAAACCAAAAUGGAGGAGAUAUUGGGGGCAAGGGGACCGGCCCUAUUAGGCCUUUUAAGGCAAAAAAAUUAUGUUAAUCAAGUUCUUUAAUUAGUAACUCUUACAUCAAGUACAAGUGUGUCCAUCUCCCAUUGGUAGAAAAUUUACUUAGCACCCUUAAUCACAUGAUUAGGCUCAAUUGAAAGAGAUAAGGUGAAGCCUAUUAUCCAAGGGACAACAAAAGUAUGGGGGAUAUUAGUUAAAUAACCACAUUUCAUUUGCUAGACAUUUCAUUUCUCUUAUUCUUCUUCUUCUUCUAUUUUUCUCCCAAGCUAGCAAGAUACAAAGAGACAAAGAGAGAGAGGGGUUCGGUUUUGAAGAGAAAGAGAGAGGAGUGUGCUAGCUUGAUUAAUGCACCCUAAGAUUAUAUAUUACUUUGGUAAAUCAAGGAAGGUUGCUACUAGAACAAGGUAUAACCUAAAUCUUCAUCUUCUUCUUCUAUUUGGUGUUAUAGCAAGAUUUGACGGGGUUAUGAACUAAUACUCAAGAUACCCUAGUUCUACAUAUCAUCAUGUAUGAAACUAAGUAUCUUGAGUGUUAGAUCAAAGGUUUAGAGGAAGAAAAUGAGCAUAUGUUCUCUUAGGGGUUAAACCCUUGUUUUUCUUCCACUAAAUCUUGUGUAACUCAAGUUUUACAACUUGAAUUUGUGAUCCGUCGAAAGGGGUGCUAGAUACAUGAGUUAUCUAGUAAACCCAAGUGGUAGAACACAAAUCUAGCAAGUAUUGAAGCCAUGGGGGCUGUUUUCCCCAAAACAGUCCACAUAGAAAAUUAAAGUUUUAAAACCCUAAAAAGCUAUUAUCCCCGUUUUUCUUAAGGCUGUUUCGGACAAUUUCAGGUCUUUUAAAAAUUUGGGAAAAAUCACAAAGGUACCUUAAGAAGUUAUCUACUUUUAGGAAAAAGAAUGGACACGUUUCGAUUUAAAGGUUGUGCGUAAUGGCUAUUUCCGUAAAGGACUCCUAAAUAUUAACACCCGAAUUUCUCACAGUGUAUAAAUGGGAAAAAUCCGAAACUUUCAAUAUGUUCAUAUAUGUUAUGAGAGUAUACCCUGAAAAGUUUAGAAUUUUCUGAGCAAAACUCGAUUUAUGAAAAAUGAAGCAAGAUCCGAGUGUUUUGGGCACUUUAAAAUUAGUAAAUCACUUUCUAAAAUUUCAAAAAAAUUUGGGGAUCAUUGUUGGGUCAUAUAAUGUCCAAACCCAGAAAAGAAGAAUUUUUGGAAUCAGUUUGGUAUUUUUCCUAAAAAUAAUGAAGUUAUGAAUAAAAAAAAUAAAUAGUUAAAUGAUGUCUUAAAUAAGAAAAAUGUGAUUUUAAUGCUUGAAUACUCCUAAUAUAUAAUAUUAUGACUAAUUUAGGGUAUUUUGGUAAUUUAUAAUAAGAAAUAUUAUUUAUGACCUUUUAUGAAUAUUAAAUAAGUGGUUUUAUAAAGGGUGAACAAUUAGAAUAAAUUGUUUAUUGAUCUAAUAAAUUAUUAAAAUAUUAUUAUGAUAUUAAUAAUAUUAGAAUAUGAUAUUAUUAAGCAAAUAAAAAUAUUAAGAUUAAAACUUCAUUAAAAUAUUAUUAAAUGGUUAAUAGUAUUUGAUUUAAGCAUUAAUAAAUGAUUAAAGUAUUAUUAAAUGAUUAAUAAUAUUAGAUUAAAAUAUUAAUCUUAGAUUAAAAUAUUAUUAAGUAAAUAAUAAUAUUCGAGAUUAAAUAAAAUAUUAUUAAAAAUGUAAUAACAUUAGUAAAGGAAUAAAAUAUUAUUAAAUGAUUAAUAAUAUUAGUAAAUGAAUAAAAUAUUAAUACUAUUGAUAAAUGAAUAAAAGUAUUAUGAAUUGAUUAAUGAUGCUAAAGCAUAAAACCAAAAGGGUUCUUAACCAAAAAACUGAAAGAUUGGAAGGAGGCAUUCAUAAAUAAACAUAUUUUUGGAAAUGUGGUGGCCUCGUGAGAGAAUUUAUAUCCUUUGUCACAUCUGCGGUAGUUAUAUGAUUUAGACCACAGUGCAUUGCAAUCCUUAGCGCCUGGGAAUUGGAUUUUCGAGCAUAUCCUCGAUGCUUAUAUGUUGUUGGUACGUGACAUAGAGGAAUACUAUAGGUCGCAGGGAAUACAAAGGUGGGCCCAAUUUGGUUUCGUGAAUUCAUUCUUCAUGCAUCUUGGGCAGAGCUGUGUGCCCCCAACUGAAGAGAAUCAUGCAUGGAGUUUUUGCAAUUCGUAUGUGAACCAAGAUGUUGGCCCACCUUUACAAGAAUGCCAUUACAUAUUCAUGUUGGUGUGUAGUACAAAUCAAAGCCAUUUUUCUUGUUCCUAUUCUCAGUUGAAGAUUGGAUGGUUACGAUAAUUGACCCGUACUACAAUGAUACCAAACAUAUGAAGUUACAAGAAAUGUACUCAGAAUUCGUUAAAGUUGCGGUAUGUGUAGUUUUAAAAUAUUUUACUUUUAUAAUGUUCUUUAAUAUUAAAAAAUUAUUAACCAACUAUUUUGUACAUGCAGGUACAUUUGAUACCAUUUUUUUUGCAAAAUGGUAAUCCGAUGCGUGAGUGGCCCAGCGGUAAUCCUACUGUGCAGACCACAAAGAUUCGACCGAAACAACACAACCACCCAGACUGUAGCAUUUUUGUAUGCAAGUAUGUUGACGGUUUCGUAAGGUCCAAUGUUAAUAUUUGCAAAGAGGAGUGGUCAUUGGAAGAUGUCACGGUCUUUCGUUACCGCAUCGCAUGUGAGCUCUACAAGAAAUCUACAAGAUUACUUCCGGCAUCUGAGAUGUAGAACUUGUCCAGCGUUAAUGUACAUAUUAAUUAAUAAGAAUAUCUAUUUGGUUGAAAUGUAUGGGAUUUUCAAAUUCAUAACUUAGUAAUAUUAAUAUUAUUUAAUCACAUAAAACCACUUCAUAUUAUUAAUACG